CAUGCAGUCGAGCGGAACGAUGGAAGCUUGCUUCCAGGCGUCGAGCGGCGGACGGGUGAGUAAUGCAUAGGAAUCUGCCCGGUAGUGGGGGAUAACCUGGGGAAACCCAGGCUAAUACCGCAUACGUCCUACGGGAGAAAGCAGGGGAUCUUCGGACCUUGCGCUAUCGGAUGAGCCUAUGUCGGAUUAGCUAGUUGGUGAGGUAAUGGCUCACCAAGGCCGCGAUCCGUAGCUGGUCUGAGAGGAUGAUCAGCCACAUCGGGACUGAGACACGGCCCGAACUCCUACGGGAGGCAGCAGUGGGGAAUAUUGGACAAUGGGCGAAAGCCUGAUCCAGCCAUGCCGCGUGUGUGAAGAAGGCUUUCGGGUUGUAAAGCACUUUCAGUGGGGAAGAAAUCCUCGGGGCCAAUACCCUCGAGGGAGGACAUCACCCACAGAAGAAGCACCGGCUAACUCCGUGCCAGCAGCCGCGGUAAUACGGAGGGUGCGAGCGUUAAUCGGAAUUACUGGGCGUAAAGCGCGCGUAGGCGGCGUGAUAAGCCGGUUGUGAAAGCCCCGGGCUCAACCUGGGAACGGCAUCCGGAACUGUCAGGCUAGAGUGCAGGAGAGGAAGGUAGAAUUCCCGGUGUAGCGGUGAAAUGCGUAGAGAUCGGGAGGAAUACCAGUGGCGAAGGCGGCCUUCUGGACUGACACUGACGCUGAGGUGCGAAAGCGUGGGUAGCAAACAGGAUUAGAUACCCUGGUAGUCCACGCCGUAAACGAUGUCGACUAGCCGUUGGGGUCCUUGUGACCUUUGUGGCGCAGUUAACGCGAUAAGUCGACCGCCUGGGGAGUACGGCCGCAAGGUUAAAACUCAAAUGAAUUGACGGGGGCCCGCACAAGCGGUGGAGCAUGUGGUUUAAUUCGAUGCAACGCGAAGAAUCCUUACCUACUCUUGACAUCGUGCGAACUUUCCAG
rnacentral:rRNA from 1 species